AUGGGCAUUUUAAAGUUACCGGAGAAACCGAAAGUUGUGUGUGGGUUCCAAGUUCCUACACAGCUCAAAAAUAUCCUUCCCUGCAGCACGCUCGUGCAGGCAGCGAGCGGCAUCCCCCAUGCGCGGGGAGCUGCUGGGAAAAGCGGCGUGGGGGUCCUGCCCUGCUGCCUCUGCCUCCUUGAAGCUCCAAAGCAAAGCCCGAAACCCGCAGCAGACCACGGCCAGAAAAGCACCCUGGGGAUGGGGAUCUCCCUGUGUGCACACCCGCUGCCUGCGGCACGAGGGCACCCGACUGUGCCGGCCACGGAGAUGCUGGGCUCCACCAUGGGCCCCGAAAGCAAAGGGGGAAGCUGCUGCCCUAUUUCCCAGCUGCUGGCACCCUACAAGGGGAUGGGUCUCAGCCGGAUCCGUGGAGAGCACAUGGGGAAGGAGGGGAGCCACGGCUCCAGCCCAGGUACCGGACAGCAGGGCACGAGGUGCGAGGCAGGGAGGUUGCGGUGCCGCGUGGGAAGCCGGGCAAUUCCCUGCUGGGGGCAGAGGGUGAGGUGGGGGGGAUGCUGUAGGGUUGUGGAUGGGUCAUAUCUGGCCUCUCCCUGCCCCACAGCCACCCCAGCUCGGGGGCUGAGGUGCUCUGCCCCAGUGGGAGGCUGUGAUUGUCCCCAGGGAGCACCGGGUGCCUGGUGGAGGAGAGAGCGGGCUGCGGAGCCGCUGGGGGAUUUUCUGGGUUGGGGACACCUCUGUCCCUGGGGGACCCUGCUGCUGGGGUGCUGCUGUGGGGUCUGGGGCAUUUUGGAGAGGGCCCAGCACCAAACCCUGCUGUCCCGGGCGGCGAUGUGGGCUUGGGGGCAGCCGAAAGGGCUCCAAGCACCCCUGCGCGCCAUGGGGACAAACCCUUUCCCUCCGCAGGGCCACGACCCUCCUUUGGGGCACCCAGGACGGGGGCUGCCCCCCUGCUCCAGCACGGGGGUCACCGCCACCCUCCACCCCCGGGGCGAGGCGUGCGGCGAAGCGGAGCGGGCAGGGGCCGGGGCUGGAAGCGCGCUGGGAACGGGGGCUGGGGGCAAAGGGGGAAACCCGGGGGGGGGUCGUGGUCCCCGAGAGGCUGCUGCACCUUCCCCGGGGGCUGCACUCACCCGUCAGCUGGUCGUAGGAGCCGUCCAGGUCCCGGGAGUCGGACAGGCUCUCCUUCCUGCCUUUGCUCCGCAUCUUCUUGGCCGGGGUCGGGGGGAUCCGCGACGGGGCGCACGGGCUCCGCCGCCGGGCAGGGGGUUGGGGACACCCCCCCCGGAGCCNNNNNNNNNNGCACGGCUCGCAGGAGCGCGCCGCCGCCGCCGCCGGGGCUGGGCACGGCCGCCCCCUCCCCUCCCGUCCUUCCCCGCCUCCUCCCGGGAGCCGCCGGCCCGGCCCCGCCGCCGCGGGGAAACUGAGGCACGGCCCGGGCCGGUGGGGGGGUGA
rnacentral:lncRNA from 1 species